AAAGACUAAUAAUAGUUGUAAUGAACAUAUCUCAGACAAUAUACACUCGGAUUUACAUUUUAGUUAAACCAUCACCACUUCCACAGCCACUUUGUCUCAAGCAUUCAAUCACAUUCUAAGAUAUCUUUAUUGAAAUUAAGUGUGACUACUUUACCAAAAGACUCUAGAAUGGACCAAUCAAUGAAACUGUCGGUAUCUCCACAACUUUUCAAUUAAAUAGAAAGUUUCAAUCAAACAGGAUACUGAGUGUGCCUACUGCUUCUCAAGACAAUGGAUAAUGGGAGUUAUCAAACUUGCGAUAACUACAAGUUUUUUUAAUAAGUAAAAAGAUUGUAUGACUUCGGUAUCCGCAAUAUGGUAUCGUGCAUUGGUUCUUAUCUUAGAAUGGCUCCCUUCCGUAUAGGUGAAAAUAAGAAAGGUUAUCAGUUCAAGCAAAGAUGACAAUGAUCAUUAUGGAGCCGAUCAUAAUGACGAAUACGGUAAUGCAUAUAAUAAUAAAUAAAAUGAUUUUACUUGUAUUUUAGACUUAUAUAAAUAAAAAAUUAUCUUUUUAAUA
rnacentral:lncRNA from 1 species